rnacentral:rRNA from 1 species
AUUGAACGCUGGCGGCAGGCUUAACACAUGCAAGUCGAGCGGAGCAGCGGACGGGUGAGUAAUACCUAGGAAUCGGCCUGGUAGUGGGGGAUAACGUCAGGAAACGGGCGCUAAUACCGCAUACUAUCAGAUGAGCCUAGGUCGGAUUGGCUAGUUGGUGGGGUAAAGGCCCACCAAGGCGACGAUCCGUAACUGGUCUGAGUGGAUGAUCAGUCACACUGGAACUGAGACACGGUCCAGACUCCUACGGGAGGCAGCAGUGGGGAAUAUUGGACAAUGGGCGAAAGCCUGAUCCAGCCAUGCCGCGUGUGUGAAGAAGGUCUUCGGGUUGUAAAGCACUUUAAGUUGGGAGGCGUUACCAGCAGAAUAAGCACCGGCUAACUCCGUGCCAGCAGCCGCGGUAAUAC